CAGAAAGUUUACCUGUUAGAUUGAAACGUGAAACAUGGUGAACAAUGUACUGGUUUAACUUGUUAAAAUAAAGUUAAAGAAAUUUAACAAACAGAAGAGUUCAUGAGUUUUUCCAUUAAAAACACAUUCUUAAAAUACUUAUGUAUUUAUAUCAUUUGGAAAGUGACAUGAAAUAUUGCUAAAGAGUGAUGCAUACAGUGUUUGAGCAGUCUGUCUAGGAAUAGAACAACAACUGAAGUUGAUGGAAGAUACUGCAGAGUUUGGCAGGGAAAUAAUCCAACAGCAAAGCGGCUCUUUAAGCGCAUUUACCUAGAGGACUUACAGGGCCACAAAUUCAUGAGCACAUGUGAGCAGUAUACAAUGUACCUCAUACCAAAAAGGACCCGGAGGCAGUGACUGGUGUUCAAUAUUCUCAGAAGAAAAGGAAAAUGGCAGUGGAAGACUUGGACAAACAUUUUUAAAAACUAGCCUCUGUGUUAAGCCUGGCAGUCUGUGGCUGGUGACAUGUUUUAUUUUGGUUACUUCUUGUAUAAAAAAGACCAGUUAUUUAUUUUGUGAAUUGUA